UUUAAAAACGUGUCUCUUUCUUUACUGUUUAAGAUGUUUGGUACAUUUUCCCUUACAAUGUUUUGAUUUAUUUUAUUUCCUAAUUCAAACCUUUGCAUUGCAGGUAUUGGGCAGUCGAAAAGGAUGUGUGGGACGGAUUCCUCUGCUAAUGGCUCGCAUGCGCACGAUGGGCUCUCUUUGCACUUAAAGCGAUUCAAGUACUCCGAGAACCCACCGUGCCCUGUCAUAGUUUGCGUACUCCUCAAUGACCUUUGACCUCCGGAUUGGGGCAGCGUUCCUGAUUCUGCGUUUUUUAGUGGCAACGUUCCUCUUCAGAUCUGCGAGUUCCUCGGACCACCACGGCAGGGCAGCGACGACGAAAACUCUCCACAAGCCUCAUUUGAAGAAGGAUAUGUCAUAGCGCUUAGGAAACAACGUGGAGGGGAGCUCAUUCAAAAGCCGGAUGGUACGUGGCAAAAAAUAUCUCUGGAAACGCACUGUGGAUGAACGCAGUGGCUCCAAGUAGUAUAAAUGAACUCUACUCCGGUAGCGGGCGUAAGAUAGUAAAAACGAGAUGAUGGUAUCAUCUCAAACAAUUCCUCAGAGCACUCCUCAUGGAACAUACGGUACAAAAUACAGAGGGAACCGAAGUCCCUCCGCAGACCCAGAGGCUCCAAGCGAUCCGUGAGAAUGGGAUUAUCAACAAUCCGAACGGGAUCAAGUUAAGCCUCCCAUACUUUAGAGGGCACGCUCCAAAUAUAUCAAUAUCUUCUAGUCAUGUUUAAUCUAUGUCAGUAUAUUCCGAC